rnacentral:rRNA from 1 species
UACGUAGGUGGCAAGCGUUGUCCGGAUUUACUGGGCGUAAAGAGCGCGCAGGCGGUCGUUCAAGUCGCGUGUGAAAGCCCCCGGCUCAACUGGGGAGGGUCACGCGAUACUGAUCGACUCGAAGGCAGGAGAGGGAAGUGGAAUUCCCGGUGUAGUGGUGAAAUGCGUAGAUAUCAGGAAGAACACCCGUGGCGAAGGCGGCUCUCUGGGACGGUACUGACGCUGAGACGCGAAAGCGUGGGGAGCGAACAGG